ACGGUGGUCGUUGUCGGUUAGCGCUACGCCGACACUUUCGCCGGGUGCGAGCGACCUGGACAACGACGUGUCAACUGGCGCAGGGUGCCCUCUCACGACUCCCACCACGACUUGCGUCGCUGAGGGGAUCUCGUGUAUCGCUAGUUCGUACCGCCAACGUUCGCUGGUGUCGCGGCGUUCUUAAUGAAGCACUGAUGGGACGUUUUUACGACACGUGAAACUCUUGAGAUUUGCGGAAGACUAGAUAUCACUGGGAGCUGAGCACAAGAUCUACCAGAGUUUGCGGCCACACGGUCAGUGUGAUUCCCGAGGGUGCAGUUUGCAGUGGACGCGUAUCGGAGAAUUCGAUUCGACCAGGGUCGGCUCGAGAAGUCGCGAGUGCAGUGCAGUGAAGUGAGUGAAGAGCGAUCGACGUGCGACGACGGCUACUGAAGUUGGACGGAGCGACACAGUCGGGAUGCAGUUUCAUCGGUGGACGGCUUGACGUCGUUGGACAUCAACGCAAAAUGAUUCUCGCAGAAGGAACCAUCUCCGGUGAAUUACGGACAGAGCAACAUUGCCGUUGCAGCAUUAAUUGGGUCUAUCGCCCAAACGAACACAUGUCGGAUUACUCGUCCCGCCGGCACAUAUACAUACGUCAGGCGGCGGCAUAGUCGUGCCAAGAAGCGAAGAAGAAGACGAAGAAGAAGAGGAGGAAGCGAGAGGUAUGUCAAGGGAUCGGAUAAAGAAAGAGAAAGACGUAAUGAGAAAAAGAAGGAGCAAAGAUCGAGACAAGUCUGUUCUUUCAUUAAUCAGCGAUUAAGCCUCUGGCCUCGGCCUUUAUGAAUUAUUAUGAUACCACAUCUCACGACAUCGCCAUCAGUCACGACCCGUCGUGUAUCUCGGUAACUAUCUCCGGGGCCGCCUGGCAGACGUGUUUACAUUUAUCACCGUCAUCUUUUCAGCAUGCUUGAUUUAUCUUCCGCGCAUUAUCAUCUGACACUUUGACAUUUUGUUUGAAUGGAUAAGAGUGGCUAAUGUCGCUUUCGAGUCUCGAAGGACCGGCGCUGACGAACACAAGUGCGGAUUAAGAGUUGUGGAUUGCGGAUACAUAAAAUAUCGUAUUGUGUGAUACUAGAGAAAAAUAAAGAGAGAGAGAGAGAGAGAGAGCGUUAUUUUUAAGUCCGUCGGUAAAUAAUGCGGCAAUAGUGCGUUUUAUUUAACACGUGCAUUUGCUCUGUACAUUAGCAUAUGGUUCA